UACGUAGGUGACCAGCGUUGUCCGGAUUUACUGGGCGUAAAGAGCGCGCAGGCGGUCGUUCAAGUCGAGUGUGAAAGCCCCCGGCUCAACUGGGGAGGGUCAUUCGAUACUGGUCGACUGGAAGGCAGGAGAGGGAAGCGGAAUUCCCGGUGUAGUGGUGAAAUGCGUAGAUAUCGGGAGGAACACCAGUGGCGAAGGCGGCUUCCUGGCCUGUUCUUGACGCUGAAGCGCGAAAGCCAGGGGAGCAAACGGG
rnacentral:rRNA from 1 species